UCGUCAGCUCGUGUCGUGAGAUGUUGGUUUAAGUCCCGCAACGAGCGCAACCCCUAUGAUUAGUUGCCAGCAUUUAGUUGGGGACUCUAGUCAGACUGCCGGUGACAAACCGGAGGAAGGUGGGGAUGACGUCAAAUCAUCAUGCCCCUUAUGACCUGGGCUACACACGUGCUACAAUGGAUGGUACAACGAGCAGCUAACCCGCGAGGGUAUGCGAAUCUCUUAAAGCCAUUCUCAGUUCGGAUUGCAGGCUGCAACUCGCCUGCAUGAAGCCGGAAUCGCUAGUAAUCGCGGAUCAGCACGCCGCGGUGAAUACGUUCCCGGGUCUUGUACACACCGCCCGUCACACCACGAGAGUCUGUAACACCCAAAGCCGGUGGGAUAACCUUUAUAGGAGUCAGCCGUCUAAGGUAGGAAAGAUGAUUAGGGUGAAGUCGUAACAAGGUAGCCGUA
rnacentral:rRNA from 1 species